UACGUAGGGUGCGAGCGUUAAUCGGAAUUACUGGGCGUAAAGCGUGCGCAGGCGGUUUUGUAAGCCAGAUGUGAAAUCCCCGGGCUCAACCUGGGAAUGGCAUUUGGGACUGCAAGGCUGGAGUGCGGCAGAGGAGACUGGAAUUCCUGGUGUAGCAGUGAAAUGCGUAGAUAUCAGGAGGAAUACCGAUGGCGAAGGCAGCCCCCUGGGCCAACACUGACGCUCAGGCACGAAAGCGUGGGGAGCAAACAGG
rnacentral:rRNA from 1 species